ACUUGCUUUAAAUACUAAAUCUAUUAGCAAUUAAAAUUGGGAAAAUAUUAGGUUCUGAUUCUGUCAAGUAGUCUAUUCACCCCCCCCUCUAGACAUCCCUUUUAGUGAUCCCACACACCGGUAAACAAAAAAUUAGGGCAACAAAGGUGGAAUAAAACACCAAGCAAGAGGCCAAGCCUUCCAUCCUUUACCAAAUAUAUAUGUGCAUUAAUUAUAUAGCAAAUAUAUCAUGAUAUCCAAAAAUAUCCAUGUUGUCACAUGGAACAAUCUGCACGUGCAACUAGCAACACUAUAAGAAGGGUUGAGCAAGCGGUAACAUAACCAAACAACAGUUUGUUGAGAAGGUGCGGGGUUAGAUGCUUAUCAUGGCACUUUGGGAGACUUGACAAAUAAGUGGUAGGAAGUGAGACAUAUCUAUCGAAGCGAAACAACUAGCAUGGCUAUGAUAGUAGUGGUGUCCACGAAAAUGAUCAUCUUGCGUGAGAUACCGCUUGGAAGAAGAACGAAUCCAUGAAGUAGACGAAUGUGCGUAGUCGAACGAAUCCUCACACUCUAUAUCGGUUCGGAAAUCUAUUGAGAAGAAGCAAUCCAAAAACAAACAAAUGACACGGUAAACAUCACAACAUAUGCAUGACAUAAUGCGCAAACAAAUAUGAUGCAUGUCCCUUUAAUUAUGCAUGGCCUCGUAUAUCACAUCAAACAACUAGCAUAUGGACGAGACUCCACAUUCACUCAUCUAGUUCACUCCCGUUUGUUUACUCGACAAGUUUAAAUGUUUAUUAACAUGGCAAGAGGUGAAUCAUAUGAGAACUAUCCUAUCUACGCAUUUUAAAUGAGGUCGAAACAAUAUAUAACAUUUCUCAAACGACCCCAUAUGCAUAAUAAGAAUUUGGUCCUGUUUUGCAUAACCAAAUUUUAUAUUUAUUAAACAUGAAAAUAAAGAGCAUCAUAGUAUUCUACAUAUUCUUCUAAGCAAGUUACAUAUAUAAAACAUUUUAAUCGGAGUUACGGUUUAAUGGUUACAAAAUAAACCGAUUUAAUAUGACAUUAAUGCAAAUUUAAUCAAACAGAAAGAUUAAAUAUUUGUAACACAUGUGCGAGUUGGAUAUUAUUAACCUACACAAAAUCGUAACAACAUUCAUAUAAAAAUAUAUUUUAAUUCGAUGCAUGGUUGUGAAGUUAUUAAAUGCAUAAUUUAGAGGGAUUUUUUUGUAAAUUUGUAAUUCAGCAGAUAAUUAUGCAAAUUCGUAGACAGAAAAAAAAAUCGGGCCAAAUCUGAGAUCUAGCCUGACAGCAGCUGAGCGCACAAAAGUUAAAUCAUGCCCUCAGCGUUGACACACGAGGUGAACUGGGCUGGAGGGUGCUGCUCACCAUGGGCGAAGCCCGGAUGUGAGAGGAGGUCGGGCGAGGCGAGCUGGGAUGGGGCGGACUGGCGGAGGCGAAGGGCGAGGCUGGAGCGACCCAACCGCGGUCAACGCAGCAAGCGGCGCUGGAGCCCAAGGGCGUUCCUCGUCCUCCUCUGGACAAGAAGCAGCGGCGGCGCUGGACACAGGAC
rnacentral:lncRNA from 1 species